rnacentral:tRNA from 1 species
GUUCUUAUAGUGUAUAAGCACAUUAGAUUUUCAAUCUUUUAGAAUAUAAUUAAGUCAUUUUAUAUUAAGAAUA